rnacentral:rRNA from 1 species
UACAGAGGUCUCGAGCGUUAGGCGGAAUCACCGGGCUUAAAGCGUGUGUAGGCGGGUCGUUAAGUGCCUUGUGAAAUCCUAUGGCUCAACCAUGGAACUGCUGGGCAUACUGGCGAUCUUGUGCCACCUAGGGGCGAGCGGAACAGAUGGUGGAGCGGUGAAAUGCGUAGAUAUCAUCUGGAACGCCAAUGGUGAAAACAGCUCGCUGGGGGUGUGCAGACGCUGAGACACGAAAGCCAGGGGAGCGAACGGG